UACGUAGGUGGCAAGCGUUGUCCGGAAUUAUUGGGCGUAAAGCGCGCGCAGGUGGUUCCUUAAGUCUGAUGUGAAAGCCCACGGCUCAACCGUGGAGGGUCAUUGGAAACUGGGGAACUUGAGUGCAGAAAAGGAAAGUGGAAUUCCAAGUGUAGCGGUGAAAUGCGUAGAGAUUUGGAGGAACACCAGUGGCGAAGGCGACUUUCUGGUCUGUAACUGACACUGAGGCGCGAAAGCGUGGGGAGCAAACAGG
rnacentral:rRNA from 1 species